GACGAACGCUGGCGGCGUGCUUAACACAUGCAAGUCGAACGUGGUUUUUGUGGAAAUUCUUUCGGGAAUGGAAAUGAAAUGAAAGUGGCGAACGGGUGAGUAACACGUGAGCAACCUACCUUACACAGGGGGAUAGCCGUUGGAAACGACGAUUAAUACCGCAUGAGACCACAGAAUCGCAUGAUAUAGGGGUCAAAGAUUUAUCGGUGUAAGAAGGGCUCGCGUCUGAUUAGCUAGUUGGAAGGGUAAAGGCCUACCAAGGCGACGAUCAGUAGCCGGUCUGAGAGGAUGAACGGCCACAUUGGAACUGAGACACGGUCCAAACUCCUACGGGAGGCAGCAGUGGGGAAUAUUGCACAAUGGGGGGAACCCUGAUGCAGCGACGCCGCGUGAGCGAAGAAGGUUUUCGAAUCGUAAAGCUCUGUCCUAUGAGAAGAUAAUGACGGUAUCAUAGGAGGAAGCCCCGGCUAAAUACGUGCCAGCAGCCGCGGUAAUACGUAUGGGGCGAGCGUUGUCCGGAAUUAUUGGGCGUAAAGGGUACGUAGGCGGCCUUUUAAGUCAGGUGUGAAAGCGUGAGGCUUAACCUCAUUAAGCACUUGAAACUGGAAGACUUGAGUGAAGGAGAGGAAAGUGGAAUUCCUAGUGUAGCGGUGAAAUGCGUAGAUAUUAGGAGGAAUACCGGUGGCGAAGGCGACUUUCUGGACUUUUACUGACGCUCAGGUACGAAAGCGUGGGGAGCAAACAGG
rnacentral:rRNA from 1 species